CUCAAUAGGAUUACGCUGAGGCCCAGCCUAAGGGAGGGUGGCACCAGAGGAGAUUGGCAGCCGGCCAUCCUGUCCAGGACAGUCGAACUGUGGCUGGGAGCCCACUAAGUGGCCCCACAGGGGAGAUGCUGUGGAGCCACAGUGUGGGCUGCCCCUGCGGAGAAGUUGGGGUCUUUGUGCUGAGAGCCCUGAGAUGCUGCCCAAGAAGGAGGUCCCGGGACUGCUGUCCCGUGGGCCGCAGUCUGCCCGCUGCUGUCCCACCCCGCUUCUGUGAUCCUCUGCAGACCUUCUGUGCACAGUGAUCUCUGGCAUCCCGUCCUGUGGGCUGCCCCUGCGGAGAAGUUGGGGUCUUUGGGCUGCGAGGGGCGUCGGUCAGAACACCCGGGCAUCCCAGGAUAUCGGGCUCAAGGGUGCCAGAGAGCACCUCCCGGGUCCUCGGUUUGGGUAGUGGAUCAUCACUGUGAAACUGCUCUGGUGAAACCCUUGCAGGAUGUUGAUGCCCACCUCUCUCCCAACUUGCUGCCCUGCUGCUCUGCAGGCCCUGAGAUGCUGCCCAAGAAGGAGGUCCCGGGACUGCUGUCCCGUGGGCCGCAGUCUGCCCGCUGCUGUCCCACCCCGCUUCUGUGAUCCUCUGCAGACCUUCUGUGCACAGUGAUCUCUGGCAUCCCGUCCUGGUAAGCCAUGGCAGCUGCCGGCGGAGCCCUGUCUCUCCCAGGUUGUGUUCAGUCUGGGUCGAUGAUGACACUGCAAUGGGGCUGAAAAGAGGUGAUGUCUUCAAAAACAGGCUCAAUAGGAUUACGCUGAGGCCCAGCCUAAGGGAGGGUGGCACCAGAGGAGAUUGGCAGCCGGCCAUCCUGUCCAGGACAGUCGAACUGUGGCUGGGAGCCCACUAAGUGGCCCCACAGGGGAGAUGCUGUGGAGCCACAGUGGUAGGCGCACCUCCAGGCCCGACCGAGACCCUUCCCUGGUUUCGGUGCACCCCAGUCACGAUCAUCCCCCAAUCUGCUCCUGUCACGGUGACGAGGAGCCCCUCUUGCUCAGCCCCUUUCCUUUGCUUUUGCCUUUCAG
rnacentral:lncRNA from 1 species